GCUGGCGGCGUGCUUAACACAUGCAAGUCGAACGAGAGACGGUGAAAAGCUUGCUUUUAAUCGAAUCGAGUGGCAAACGGGUGAGUAACGCGUAAACAACCUGCCCCUGGGAUGGGGACAACAGCUGGAAACGGCUGCUAAUACCGAAUGAGCUCCACGUGCCGCAUGGCAGGAGGAGGAAAGGGUGGCCUCUGGAACAAGCUACCGCCGAGGGAGGGGUUUGCGUCUGAUUAGCUGGUUGGUGAGGUAAGGGCUCACCAAGGCGACGAUCAGUAGCCGGUCUGAGAGGAUGAACGGCCACAUUGGAACUGAGAGACGGUCCAGACUCCUACGGGAGGCAGCAGUGGGGAAUCUUCCGCAAUGGGCGAAAGCCUGACGGAGCAACGCCGCGUGAGUGAAGACGGCCUUCGAGUUGUAAAGCUCUGUUACACGGGACAAACGGGUUUUGUGCGAACAGCAUAAGACCGUGACGGUACCGUAGAAGAAAGCCACGGCUAACUACGUGCCAGCGGCCGCGGUAAUACUUAGGAGGCAAGCGUUGUCCGGAAUGAUUGGGCGUACAGGGCGCGCAUGCGGCCGGCCAAGUCUGUCUAAAAAGAGCGCCGCUUAACCCCGUGAGGGGAGAGAAACUGGCCGGCUGAGAGUGUCAGACAGGAAAGCGGAAUUCCUAGUGUAGCGGUGAAAUGCGUACAUAUUAGGAGGAACACCGGGGCGAAAGCGGCUUUAUGGACGACAAUUGACGCUGAGGCGCGAAAGCCAUGAGAACAACUGGGAUUAGAUACACCGGUAGUCGUGACCGUAAACGAUGGGUACUAGGUGUGGGAGGUAUCGACCCCUUCCGUGCCGGAGUUAAUGCAAUAAGUACACAGCCUGGGGAGUACGGCGGCAAGGUUGAAACUCAAAGGAAUAGACGGGGGGCCGCACAAGCGGUGGAGUAUGUGGUUUAAUUAGACGCAACGAGAAGAACCUUACCAAGCUUUGACAUAGAGUGAAGGGUGUAGAGAUAGACCGAUCUUAUUCGGAAGACAAGAAAACAGGUGGAGCACGGCUGUUGUCAGCUUGUGUUGUGAGAUGAAGGAGUAAGUCGAGCAACGAGAGCAACCUUUAUCUUCAGUUACCAGCAGGUAGAGGUGGGGACUCAGGAGAGAUUGUCGCAGACAAUGCGGAGGAAGGGGGGGAUGACGUCAAGUCAUCAUGCCCUUAAUGGCUUGGGUUUCACACGUACUACAAUGGCUCGUAAUAGAGGGAAGCAAGGGAGCGAUCCGGAGCAAACACCAAAAACGGAGUCCCAGUUGGGAAAUCAGGAUGCAAUUCGCCCGCAUGAAGGAGGAAUCGCUAGUAAUAGCAGGUCAGCAUAGUGCGGUGAAUACGUUUCCGGGGCGUAGUACACACCGCCCGUCACACCACGAAAGUCAUUCACACCCGAAGCCGGUGAGGUAACCGCAAGGA
rnacentral:rRNA from 1 species